rnacentral:rRNA from 1 species
AUCGGCUUGCGGGUCGAUGUGAGCCAACGGUGAGAUACCACUCUUUGCGAGCUAGGGUUCUAACGGCCACCCGUCAUCCGGGGGCCGGACAGUACCUGGUGGGCAGUUUGACUGGGGCGGUCGCCUCCUAAAAGGUAACGGAGGCGCGCAAAGGUUUGCUCAGGCUGGUUGGAAAUCAGCCGACGAGUGUAAAAGCAGAAGCAAGCUUGACUGUGAGACCAACAAGUCGAACAGGGAGGAAACUCGGCUUUAGUGAUCCGACGGUUCUGAGUGGAAGGGCCGUCGCUCAACGGAUAAGAGUUACUCUAGGGAUAACA